rnacentral:misc_RNA from 1 species
UAUGAAGAACGCAGCGAAAUGCGAUAAGUAAUGUGAAUUGCAGAAUUCAGUGAAUCAUCGAAUCUUUGAACGCACAUUGCGCCCGCUGGUAUUCCGGCGGGCAUGCCUGUUCGAGCGUCAUUUCAACCCUCAAGCUCUCCGGAGUUUGGUGUUGGGGCGCCUGGGGCUUUUCGACCUCAGGGCCCUCAAGUCCAUCGGCGGGACCGCCAGGACACUGAGCGCAGUAGUAUUAUUUCGCUCGGUAGGAUCUUCCACGGCGGGUCGAUCUGGCCGCUAAACCCCCCAAUUCUCACCAAAGGUUGACCUCGGAUCAGGUAGGAAUACCCGCUGAACUUAAGCAUAUCAAUAAGCGGAGGA